ACCUGGCUGGCUCAGGUGGUGGAGCGUGUGGCUCUUAAUCUCAGGGUGUGGGUUCGAGCCCCAUGUUGGGUG
rnacentral:tRNA from 1 species